rnacentral:lncRNA from 1 species
AGUCUUUCCCAGAUCUCUCUGCUGUACUGCCUCAUGUAGCUGGUUUUCCAGAAGUAUUUGUUGGAUGGAUAGAAGAAGAAAAGAGAAGAAAGGAAGAAAGGAUGGAGGGCUUAGCUGAGGGACACUUCCCAAAAUCAAUCAAAAACCUGAAGCAAAGGACGUAUUACAAAGAUUUUGGAGAAUGCAUGGAAUAAAGGAAGGACUGAACAAUUAAGCUAUGGGAAGAACUGAAACACAGAAGUUCCAAGACCUCCAGAAGCUGGGGAAUGGAAACAUGCUUUCUAUAGCAUUGCCUAGCGUCGUGCAACUCUGACACUCUCUGUUUCUAUGUAUCUCAAUUCAGGUUUUCCAAUUAUUAGAAGAAUUAAUCUAACUGAA